GAGGGGGAAAGAGAAAGAUACUCUGGUUGGAUGACAGGAAAUCAUAUAACCAUAUUUGCAACUGAGCUUUGGGAGCAUGGUCUUUAUAAUGGGGUUAGCUAAUCUAGAUAGUAAUAAGGAUAGGAAAGUCAGUAAUCAUAAUCAUAUUUAAUGGAUUCCAGAUGGAGAAGUAUAAUUGUUCUCAUUAUCAUUGUGAAAACUCCAAGGAAAUACAAUCCCAAGAUACUUUACCUUGACAAGCAACCAGGAACAAUAUCGACAUCAAGUCAUGGGAUUUGAAGGAAGAGCUGUGUUCCUGUUUAUGAUUCAUGUUGGAUGAGACUCUAAGAACUGAAGAGGAGUAAUCAGGCAUAAACCUCAAUCCUUCGGAGGCUAUUGGCUGUCCAUCAGCACUGCAAAUUUUGGGUACUCUACUUUGGGUAACCAAACAGAUAUUGAGAGCACCUCUGAGGAUGGGCAUCCUCAUUUACCAUGAGCUGGAGCAUUCCCCCACUGAGGUGGGUCUCUAGGUUGGCAUAUGCCCAGAGAAACAAGUCACCAUGAAGCAACACAAGCAGAGAUGAUGUGUGGUUUUUUGACUCUGCGAACAAAAACAUACCAUGCAGCCAGCAUCUUCAGGCACUGCUGUCCCUGCAGAGCUCCCAGACAGACAACGACAGCAGUUCACUGAAGUGGAGGAAGGUAGAAAUGGAAUGUUUUCCUGAAUGUGUCUACAUCCCUCUAUAGCCAUCCAUACAUGGAGCCAGAGCCCUGAAGGGAGCUGUACUGAAUCACCCAACUGGAACCUCCUUUUCCUUUGGCAUUUCAAAACCUAAGCAGGCUUCCUAAAGGAGGCAUGUCUGGUUUCACACCAUGCUCCAGCAGCAAUGGCCAGAGAGCUCUGGUCUGCGAGGCAAAGCAUGUGUAUUCACCACAUUGUCUUUCAUGGUCUUCUUGUGGAAUCAGAUCAGUUCUAUUUUCAUGGCCUAAUUCAGCCUUGCGAAGGUGAGCCACAUGUAAUAGAUGCUGUUCAUCUUUUUGCCGGCUUCAAACUGAACUGUUAUUUAUGAUGUUAGACUCUUAACAAACUUAUUUGUAAGUAACUCUGAAGAACGUGAAGCUUUUAUGGGAGAUAGGAAAAACGUUUGGAUGAGAAUCAGUUUGUUUUGCUGCUUCUCUCUCGCUUUUCUAAUAUGGGAAGAUAAGAAAACUUAUUGAUUUAUUACCUACUCGUUAAGCAAAGACUGAGUUGCUGGAGAGACAGGAGAAGGACAGUCAUUUUGUGAAACCUCUCUGAGGAUGAUGAAUGUCAAGCACUUCUCUGAGCCCAGAUCUGUCAUUUCGUUCUCUCUUGGAUGUUGUUUUUUGAUACAUUUACAGCCAUAGUAGAUUUGGUGUUUUCACAACUGUGAAUGUUGAGCCUGAGUUAGGGAAGUAGGCAUGGAUAGGACUGUCAACUUCUCCCCUUCAUGCAAAAUUAUCCUGUAUGGAGAGGGAAUGCUUAAGCUCUCUGAGUGGUGGGUUGCAUGAGCUGUUAAUGCAAGGGUCACAACCACAUAACUUAUCAGAUAUUGUCUUGAUAAUAACGCUUUUAUUCAAAUAUCCUCAUGCAUUAAAAUCAGUGUCUGAGCACAAUGGAGUUGAUAUUACUCAUUCUAUUUGUAUGAAUUUCCCUGCUGUUAAUGCAGGGAGAAUUUUGUUUUUCAAUGAUUUGAAGAUGUGCUUCUACCCAGGAUUGCAGCAACUGCAAGUCCUCUCAAGACUUCACUGUGCAGAAUUCUAGCACCAGGCCAAAGCUAAACUCUCUGAGGUGGAGCUUUUAUGAAAGAACCGUUUCCUAUCCAGCAAGUGUGGUUUCAUCAGUAUGAAAUAUUUUACAGGAAUGUGUCAACUCUGAUGAUAUUUUCAAAGAUAAGAAGUUGAAACGAA